AGCGAACGCUGGCGGCAGGCCUAACACAUGCAAGUCGAACGAAGUCUUCGGACUUAGUGGCGGACGGGUGAGUAACACGUGGGAACGUGCCUUUAGGUUCGGAAUAACUCAGGGAAACUUGUGCUAAUACCGUAUGUGCCUUCGGGGGAAAGAUUUAUCGCCUUUAGAGCGGCCCGCGUCUGAUUAGCUAGUUGGUGAGGUAAAGGCUCACCAAGGCGACGAUCAGUAGCUGGUCUGAGAGGAUGAUCAGCCACAUUGGGACUGAGACACGGCCCAAACUCCUACGGGAGGCAGCAGUGGGGAAUCUUGCGCAAUGGGCGAAAGCCUGACGCAGCCAUGCCGCGUGAAUGAUGAAGGUCUUAGGAUUGUAAAAUUCUUUCACCGGGGACGAUAAUGACGGUACCCGGAGAAGAAGCCCCGGCUAACUUCGUGCCAGCAGCCGCUGUAAAAC
rnacentral:rRNA from 1 species